CCUACGGGAGGCAGCAGUGGGGAAUAUUGGGCAAUGGACGCAAGUCUGACCCAGCAAUGCCGCGUGAAGGAAGAAGGCUUUCGGGUUGUAAACUUCUUUUAAGGGGGAAGAGCAGAAGACGGUACCUCUUGAAUAAGCCACGGCUAACUACGUGCCAGCAGCCGCGGUAAUACGUAGGUGGCAAGCGUUGUCCGGAUUUACUGGGGGUAAAGGGCGGGCAGCCGGAGAGACAAGUCAGGUGUGAAAUCCACGGGCUCAACCCGUGAACUGCAUUUGAAACUGUUUCCCUUGAGUGUCGGAGGGGUAAUCGGAAUUCCUAGUGUAGCGGUGAAAUGCGUAGAGAUUAGGAAGAACACUCAUGGCGAAGGCGGGUUCCUGGACAUUAACUGACGCUGAGGCACGAAGGCCAGGGGAGCGAAAGGGAUUAGAUACCCGUGUAGUC
rnacentral:rRNA from 1 species